rnacentral:rRNA from 1 species
CCCUUAGAUGUCCUGGGCCGCACGCGUGCUACACUGACGCAUACAGCGAGCACUUUCCAGUUCCGAGAGGCUACUGGUAAUCAUCAAUAUGCGUCGUGAUGGGGAUAGAUCUUUGGAAUUCUGGAUCUUGAACGAGGAAUGCCUAGUAAUCGCAGGUCAUUAGCCUGCGAUGAUUAAGUCCCUGCCCUUUGUACACACCGCCCGUCGCUACUACCGAUUUCGAGUGGUCAGGUGAAUCUUUCGGACUGUGGGCGCUCUUGAGGUGUUCGCGGAAAGUCAGGUAAAUCUUAUCACUUAGAGGAAGUAAAAGUCGUAACA